rnacentral:rRNA from 1 species
ACGGGUGAGUAACACGUAGGUAACCUGCCUAUGAGACUGGGAUAACUAUCGGAAACGAUAGCUAAGACCGGAUAACUGGUUUUCUCGCAUGAGAGAAUCAUGAAACACGGAGCAAUCUGUGGCUUAUAGAUGGGCCUGCGGCGCAUUAGCUAGUUGGUAGGGUAAUGGCCUACCAAGGCGACGAUGCGUAGCCGACCUGAGAGGGUGAACGGCCACACUGGGACUGAGACACGGCCCAGACUCCUACGGGAGGCAGCAGUAGGGAAUCUUCCGCAAUGGACGCAAGUCUGACGGAGCAACGCCGCGUGAGUGAUGAAGGUUUUCGGAUCGUAAAGCUCUGUUGCCCUAGACGAACAGCAAGGAGAGUAACUGCUCUUUGUGUGACGGUAUAGGAGAAGAAAGCCCCGGCUAACUACGUGCCAGCAGCCGCGGUAAUACGUAGGGGGCAAGCGUUGUCCGGAAUUAUUGGGCGUAAAGCGCGCGCAGGCGGUCAAUUAAGUUGGGUGUUUAAGCCCGGGGCUCAACCCCGGUUCGCAUCCAAAACUGGUUGACUUGAGUGUAGGAGAGGAAAGUGGAAUUCCACGUGUA